rnacentral:rRNA from 1 species
GACGAACGCUGGCGGCGUGCUUAACACAUGCAAGUCGAACGGAAAGGCCCUGCUUUUGUGGGGUGCUCGAGUGGCGAACGGGUGAGUAACACGUGAGUAACCUGCCCUUGACUUUGGGAUAACUUCAGGAAACUGGGGCUAAUACCGGAUAGGAGCUCCUGCUGCAUGGUGGGGGUUGGAAAGUUUCGGCGGUUGGGGAUGGACUCGCGGCUUAUCAGCUUGUUGGUGGGGUAGUGGCUUACCAAGGCUUUGACGGGUAGCCGGCCUGAGAGGGUGACCGGGCACAUUGGGACUGAGAUACGGCCCAGACUGCUACGGGAGGCAGCAGUGGGGAAUAUUGCACAAUGGGCGGAAGCCUGAUGCAGCAACGCCGCGUGCGGGAUGACGGCCUUCGGGUUGUAAACCGCUUUCGACUGUGACGAAGCGUGAGUGACGGUAAUGGGUAAAGAAGCACCGGCUAACUACGUG